UGGUGCGGUGCAGACUAAUUACACCGGCUGCUUAUCACUGCAGAUCUGUGCGCACAGACGGAGGCAGCACAAGCCGAGCCUGGAGACCAGUAACCUAGUGCACGAGCACACGCUAACCUGGAGAGGGAGUAUCAUGUAUCCCAAAGAUCCGCAGUCCCAAGGUGUUGCCCUCUAGGCCACAAUCCUCUGAGAUGUGUUGAAGGAGUGACUGCUUUAAAAGUGUCGUGCGGCAGGCCUGUCUACAUGCCGCUGGUGUUGAUUCCCAUGCCCGCUGCUUGGCCCAUGCAGGGGAGAGUCUGUGCCGCUUUGGGAAAAUCGUGAGCCACAACGCGGCCGUUCUCUCCUCCGCUGCCCAUGCGGCUCAGGCUGGAGCCCAACAUUGCUGCGUCGAUGAUUUGCUACAAGAGACAGACCACAGACAUGGUUCUUACUGUACACCAAAUCCAGAUUUAUCUUUCGAUUAAAGUUCGUGUGUCAUAUCUAUUAGAGAAAACAAGGUCUAAAGCAGGGUCAACUGUAACUCAAAGCUGUAUAUCCACCAGCUCUGGUGGAAAUUAAUGCUUUCUUUGAGUUGUAUAUGUCUGUCAAUAUGGCAGCCUUGCACAAUAAUUCAGUAGAUGGAAAAUAAUUAGAACAAUAAAAGAAAUGACGCGAGUUGGGAAGCCACUCAGUCCCACAUUAGUUGCACAUAAUGAAACCCUGUAGGCUUCAAACAGAGCUAAUGAUGUGGCCGUCGGGCUUCAAAUUCAAAUCCGGCACACUUCACUGCAUCAGACAGGAUAAUGUUUCCCCAGCUGAUACAGUCCAAUUGGCCUUGUCGGAGCUGUGAUUUCUGAUUUUUGCCUGCGAUAUUCUCAACUUAUACCACAGCACUGCUCGAGUCUCAAUUCUGAUUGAUCAAAAGGUGUUGAUUCAUUUUCUGGACCAGCACAGAUGUGACAAUAAUUCCAGCUGUGAAAUAAAUUACAAGCUCAUAUUAA